CAUGGUCAAGCGCCCCUAGCGUCACUUUUAUGACGCCAAAUGUGCCUCUCGGCGUCGACUAUCGAAGCACUACGACCUUCAUUGCUUUCAGUGGGAAACUUUUGGCGUCAGAAUUCGACACGAGGACAUGAGAUGUUUAUCGCUAUGAAAUCACGUUCAAGAAGUCUCAUUCAGCAUACAUCGCGCGAUACUUGCUAUCAGUUCCACAGUUUGGCUGAAAAGACGUAAAGACAGUCAGCCCAGUGGUGUUUCUGGAGAGGGAUUCCUUCAGAAAUGGAGAAGACAGAAAGCUGCGGAGGCAGAUAUUUCCAGCAGUAAGUCUGUGAUAGUUUGUCUCUUUUAUCAAAAAUUCCUGCUGUUAUAAUUUGUACAGCAUUUGUUGUUUCUUAAACUGUUGCACUGUCCAAAUACCCACACUUGCCAUCUUUGCACUUGACCACUUGAUUACUUAUUUGACGUCUUUCCUGUAUUUGGCCUAGUGUUCGAGUGAGCAUGAUGACCACAAGUGUGUGUCGAACUUUUCAUGACCUGAUGACUGUGUUUCCCAAUCCUGAUCCUGGAGAACCCCAGCACUGCACGGUUUUGGCGUCUCUCUUAUCUGACAAACACACUUUUGAGGUCUUGGAGUCUUCACUGAUGAGCUGAUGAGUUGAAUCAGGAUUGUUUGAGGAUAACACUGCAGUUCUCCAUCAUGCACAAGGACUCACCUCGUUAACUCUUUAUCCCCCACACACACAGAUAUGGUCCCUGGAUCAGUGAUUAGACUUUGCAGUGGUUUGAUUUUUGCAGAAGAUGUAACUUUGUUUUAUUUAUAAGCUCAUAAUGAAUACAUUACAGAACCAGUGAUGAAAACAAUAGUUAAAAAUAGUAUUUUUCGUAUUGAUAAAGCAUUUUGUUCUCUUUUUCAAGCUUCAUACAGUGAACUUUUUAGACUUUAAUUAAGAGUUUUAGUAAAGGAGAUAUUCAUACACAGUCAUCCCCUAGCUCCAGUCAUGAAGUGAAAUCAUGAUGUUAUGUCAAAGCUAGCAG